UAUCUACUUAUGACGUAGACGAUGUCAUGGACAACGCAUGGAAAAGAUAGUCCUGAGGAAAAAAUUAGACGAAGUUGCAGAUAUAUGGAUGAUAUACUUAACAAUACUGUAAAAUGUAGGCAUAACAAACUAUGCAUAAUGCUCUAGGACAGAGAAAAGGAAUGGUGGAAAUCAAAUGUCUCACAAAUUUUAAAUGUUAAGGGUAAAUGAAAAAAGCUAUGCUGAACUUUAAUCUUUUACUUGUUGCAGUCAUUGGACUGCAGCAAUAUUAGAAUACCAACUCGAAGGGUUUAGUCGAAAUAAACUGACCCCAGUAUUUAUUUCUUCUUAAGCUUGAUACUUAUUUUAUCCUUCUCUUUUGCCACGCUGCUAAGUUACAAGGUAAUAAACAAACCUACGCCAGUUCUCAAGCGGUGAAAGAUAAAUACAUACAUGCUUAUAUAUAUAUAUAUAUAUAUAUAUAUAUAUAUAUAUAUACAUCCGACAAGCUUCCCUGUACCAAAUUCACUCGAGGCAUUAGUCGUCCCGGGGCUAUAGAAUGACACUUGCUGAAGCUUUGGAAUUGAACUAGAAAUCAUGUGGUUGAAAAGCAAGGUUUUUAACCACACAGCCGUUCCCGCACCUAAAAUUAACGAGAAAUUUGCAUAUACUUCACCUUAAUUGUGGUGUUAGAUUCAUAUCCUGGAAUAAUACGCUAACGGCCUCGGAAACUAACUUUGAGAAACUUGCUUUCACAAAACCAGAACGAACAUACAUAACAAACUACAAUUCAGAGAUCAUAAAUGAAACAGUGAAAAUAUGUAAAAUAUUCAAGAAGUUUAAGUAUGUAUAGAGAAAUGAUAAUAAUGCUGGAGAGAAGAAAAUUGAAUUUUACAAAGGAGAUUCCUUCUCUAUUGAGAUUUGGGCACGAGCUCAGAUAAGAGGAAGGUCCAUCGACCUUAGCAGCUGUCUCCUAUUUCUCCAACACAGAAUGAUGAAACUAAAACGAAAGACAUCCACACUAACAGUGAUCCACUGAAAAGAUGUGAUAUGUACUAUGCCGUACUUUGAAGUUAUCAUCUACGAAAACAGAAAUAUCAUGUGGAAAACGUAUAAUGCAUGCAUUUCAUAAAUGGUCGAAAUAAUGAGAGAAAAUCACCCAGACGGAGGAAAUAUCUUCAUUUAUAUAGAAGAUCGGAAAUAAAAUCACAGAUGACAAAAAGAGAAACGAACACGCAAUCCAGCGAGAAAAAGUAUUAAAAAUAACCGGUAACAGAUAUGGAUGUAUAAACGCCCUCGGGCAAGCUGCAUGGAAGCAUCCACAAAAAUGUGAACAUAUGCACACGUGAGGUUUGGUGCACUCGUGAUCACAAAGCGAGUUAGUUAUUAACUUUGUGUUUAUAAG